rnacentral:rRNA from 1 species
GGGUAACCUGCCUGUAAGACUGGGAUAACUCCGGGAAACCGGGGCUAAUACCGGAUGGUUGUUUGAACCGCAUGGUUCAAACAUAAAAGGUGGCUUCGGCUACCACUUACAGAUGGACCCGCGGCGCAUUAGCUAGUUGGUGAGGUAACGGCUCACCAAGGCGACGAUGCGUAGCCGACCUGAGAGGGUGAUCGGCCACACUGGGACUGAGACACGGCCCAGACUCCUACGGGAGGCAGCAGUAGGGAAUCUUCCGCAAUGGACGAAAGUCUGACGGAGCAACGCCGCGUGAGUGAUGAAGGUUUUCGGAUCGUAAAGCUCUGUUGUUAGGGAAGAACAAGUAC